AGUCGGAAUAUUUGUCAAUGGGCGAAAGCUUGAACAAGCAAUGCCGCGUGAGCGAUGAAGGCCUUCGGGUUGUAAAGCUCUGUGUUUUGGGAAGAAAAACUGGUACAUAAACAAUAUGCCAGAUUGACGGUACCAUAAUAGAAAGCCCCGGCUAACUACGUGCCAGCAGCCGCGGUGAUACGUAGGGGGCAAGCGUUGUUCGGAAUUACUGGGUGUAAAGGGCGUACAGGCGGCUGAGUAAGUCGGAUGUGAAAUCCUUGGGCUCAACCUGAGAACUGCAUUUGAUACUGCUCGGCUUGAGGUUAGGAGAGGAAAGCGGAAUAUGUGGUGUAGCGGUGAAAUGCGCAGAUAUCACAUAGAACACCGGUGGCGAAGGCGGCUUUCUGGCCUAACUCUGACGCUGACGCGCGAAAGCUAGGGGAGCGAACGGGAUUAGAAACCCUGGUAGUCC
rnacentral:rRNA from 1 species